rnacentral:rRNA from 1 species
CCUACGGGUGGCAGCAGUGGGGGAUAUUGCACAAUGGGGGAAACCCUGAUGCAGCGACGCCGCGUGUGGGAAGACGGUCCUCUGGAUUGUAAACCACUGUCUUCAGGGACGAAGAUGACGGUACUUGGUGUGGACGCCUCGGCUAACUAUGUGCCAGCAGCCGCGGCAAUAUGUAGGGAGCAAGCGUUGUCCGGAAUUACUGGGUGUAAGGGGAGCGUAGGCGGGAUGGCAAGUUGGGUGUUAAAUCUACCGGCUCAACUGGUAGUCGCACUCAAAACUGGUAUUCUUGAGUGAAGUAGAGGCAGGCGGAAUUCCUAGUGUAGCGGUGAAAUGCGUAGAUAUUAGGAGGAACACCAGUGGCGAAGGCGGCCUGCUGGGCUUUUACUGACGCUGAGGCUCGAAAGUGUGGGGAGCAAACAGGAUUAGAUACCCCAGUAGUC